CAGAUUCUAGAGAUCAUUCUAAAGCUGAUGAUUUAAAAACAGUGCUGAUCACAGCAGCAGCUCUAGGAGGAGGAAUCGUUCUGCUUAGCUUACUGAUAGUCAUUUGGUUCUGCUCAAAACGAAACAUAAAUACCCGGGUAGAGACGGGUGUGUGCAGUACGUUACAUCACUCCCACACAGAGCACACCGAAUGCCAAUAUACACUGGAUAAUCCUAUAUACGACACAUUUAUUCAGACAGAAACAAACAACCAUGCCAAAGAAGAAGAAGGUAUUUCACCUGAUGCUCCAGUCUACGCCAUCGUCAAGAAAAAGAAAAAGAGCACCAACACUCAGAGGAACUAGACUGAACAGGUUCCUUAAUCAGAACUCUGAUGGGGAUUUAUUUUAGUUAACAUAUGUGAUAAAGAUGUCUGUACAUAAAAGGUCAGUGUAAAAUUAUACUAUGCAACUAUGUCUUUUAGGUGUGUUACAGUGUUAAUAGAUACUGAUAAAUAAAAAGA